rnacentral:rRNA from 1 species
UACAGAGGGUGCAAGCGUUAAUCGGAAUUACUGGGCGUAAAGGGCGCGUAGGCUGUGCUGUAAGUCAGGCGUGAAAGCCCCGGGCUCAACCUGGGAAUUGCGCUUGAUACUGCGGCGCUGGAAGGUGGGAGAGGAUGGCGGAAUUCCCAGUGUAGAGGUGAAAUUCGUAGAUAUUGGGAAGAACACCGGUGGCGAAGGCGGCCAUCUGGCCCAUUUUUGACGCUGAGGCGCGAAAGCGUGGGGAGCAAACAGG